GUGGAUUAGAUACCCUGGUAGUCCACGCUGUAAACGGUGGGUACUAGGUGUGGGGUCCAUUCCACGGGUUCCGUGCCGUAGCUAACGCUUUAAGUACCCCGCCUGGGGAGUACGGCCGCAAGGCUAAAACUCAAAGGAAUUGACGGGGCCCCGCACAAGCGGCGGAGCAUGCGGAUUAAUUCGAUGCAACGCGUAGAACCUUACCUGGGUUUGACAUGGAUCGGGAGCGCUCAGAGAUGGGUGUGCCUCUUUUGGGGUCGGUUCACAGGUGGUGCACGGUCGUCGUCAACU
rnacentral:rRNA from 1 species